GGUGGUAUAGCUCAGUAGUAGAGCACAUACUUGGUGUGCAUGAGGUCCUGAGUUCAAUAACAGUGCCUCCA
rnacentral:tRNA from 1 species